rnacentral:rRNA from 1 species
UACGUAGGGUGCAAGCGUUGUCCGGAUUUAUUGGGCGUAAAGAGCUCGUAGGCGGCUCGUUACGUCGGCUGUGAAAACCCGCGGCUUAACUGCGGGCUUGCGGUUGAUACGGGCGGGCUAGAGUUCGGUAGGGGAGACUGGAAUUCCUGGUGUAGCGGUGAAAUGCGCAGAUAUCAGGAGGAACACCGGUGGCGAAGGCGGGUCUCUGGGACGAUACUGACGCUGAGGAGCGAAAGCGUGGGGAGCGAACAGG